GCCACCUCCUGCCCCGCCCCGCCCCGCCCGGCCGGCGGCGCGCUAGGCACACCGGCAGGGUAGGAGGCGGGUGUGCCUACCUCUGCUGCCAUGGAGCGCCGCCCUCCAUGUGGACCCCUCCUCGGGCAAGAUCACCUCCCAGAGCAAGACAGCGAGCACGCCGCCGCCCCACCCGCGCACGUCGCCGCCCUAUCCAUCUUGGCACCACCCUCCCGCUUCUCUCGUAGAGCAGGCGACAGGUCCAUCCAUCAAGGGACUGAGCUCCGCGCUUGGGUCGCGCGUCGCCAGCGACCACCCUAGCGGCGAGGAGAGGGGAAGGGGUGGAGACAAGGGCACGCCUGAGUCCAACGACCCCCCACCAUCAGCUGGCCGGCCCGUAGUCGUUGGCCACUUUGGCCGGCACAUCGAGAUGUGCAUGGGCAAGAUUGUGUAUGAACGGAAGUUUGAAGCACACUAAGUGAACCAUCAUUAUCGGCCAGGCUGCAGAGUGGCCGAACUAUAUCUGCACGACUGCACCCACUAUGCAGGAAGGGCACUACAGCAAGAGAUAUGAGCUGCAUCUCCUCAAGCGGCACCACAAAAUCCGCGCAGAAGGGCUACAUUCCUUCCAUCAAGAGAGACAGACACCGGAAGACAAGGUCACUUUUAGUUGACACAGAGAGGACUCGUCGAUUUAAUUGGAGAAUAUCCUUCUAUUCCAGAUAUGUUAACCAGCGUACGACCCUGUCACCGCAUCCUUCCUAUGUCAAGAAGCACAAAAGCUCCACCACGAUGGCUUCUAACUCUGAAGAUUUGGAAUCCUAGGCACCAGACUUGCGUGCUUGCGGCAGGUCAGGUGCCAUACUUUCAUUGCGACAGGGCACAUGUAGAAGUGGUGCAUUGCUGAUUCAAAAACUUUGUCCCACAAAUGAUCAUGGGCCUGCUGGACUGAAUAUUUUUAUGUGCAGUUCAUCUUUUGUUUCAAUUUAAUUUUUUAGCAGCAUUCUUCUCACUGUGUAUGCUUUUACCUACAUAUGACCUGCUGCAGUACAACCAAAUAUUCAAAUCUCUGAGCUUGCCGGGGGAGGCUUGGCGGGCUGCUUUUACUAAUCAAGUUGCUCAUGCCUAUGAAGCUAUAAGUCGAAACAUCAAUAUAGUACAGCCAAAUAUUGAAAUUCACUCUACUAGAUCAAGUUGCAGUGUAUUGUUUUUCCACAGUGUGUGAGCCCUUGAGCAUCCAUUUAGUGCUAUGUACUUUAAUUAUGCUGAUGUACUUUAUCAUCCACUUAUGAAAAUAUGGAUAAACAAAUCUAAUGGCAAUUUGUUUUAUCAGAACCAGUACAUGCAGUGCCACAUCACACCAUAUUUUAAAAGUUCAUUGGAAAUUUCAGAGGUAGCAACAAGGUGCAACGGUCCUCAGCUGAGUCACUUUGUUGAGAGUCAAUUUCUUUAGGAGCAGGAAAGUCCUAAAGGUCAGGAUGGGAAUGCUCCAAGGGAAGAUGCAUGUAAGGUCUCAAAUCAUAACUCUCAGGUAGCGGACCAGCCAACCACUGAAUGUGUUCAUGAUUUAUUUUUUCAGUGGGUUUACAAUGUGUUAUGUACGGUGCACACGCCCUCCAAAGGAUAUGAGUGACUAGACAAUGUGGCAUUUUUCUUUUGCACCAAAGAAUUUCAGAGCAUCAUGCUGUUCUUUUCAGUUUGAAUCUUCUUCGGAAGUUGCAAUGUAUGUAGGAAGAUAACAAUACACAGUUCAUUUUUUAUGUCCAUGUAAUAGUGUUUUUGUGAUUGACAUUUAGAGAUGAUAGAUAUCAACAACUAAAGCAAUGGUAAGAAUAUGUAUGUUCUAUUUUCAUCUUAUUAGUGGGCUAAAUCCAUGGAGCUUUGAUACGUUAUUAUUGAUUGAUAGACAGCUAUAUAUGGGGAAAAAAUUAGGCUUUUGUUUCCCCUUAUGUUGCUACUGUAUCAAUUCAAUUUGAGAAGCACGUUGUUCA